rnacentral:lncRNA from 1 species
CCUCCUUAUGCCAAACAGCUACUUUAAUGUUUUCUAUUCGUAUAGUGCAAUUUAUUUUCUUUUCUCUUUUUUCCUUUCUUUUUUCCCGUCCAGCCUUUUCUCUCUCUCUUUCUCUUUCUCUCUCUAUGUUUGUGGGACGGGUGGGGGUAUGUCUGCCUGGCCUCACAUUCAACUACUGGGUCAUGCUUUGGGGGUAUGGAAAUCAUGCCUGCGGUCAUGUUCACAAACUUUGGAUGCACUACAGAAUCUAUUUUUGUUUUCAGGGAACAAUGUUGACAAACAGUUCCCAUAGGCCGACUUUCCUGAAGCCGGUGGUGUCAGGUUUCGGCAGUGGUGCCUUUGCAACAUUGCAGUAAGAGCAGCAAGGGUCUGCAGCAGCAACAGGAACCAGUUCUGAGCUGUGAAUGCAGUGGGGUUUCCCCUGCAGCUUCCACCCAUCCUGCCUUGGACAUGCAGGCUCAGAAGUUACGGGGCAAAGAGCACUUCUUACUGCACAUGUCACACUGCGAAAUCAGACUCUGGAGCUGAGUGAUGCUGCCCCGUGGGAGAGCCAGCUUCUCCAGGUCCCACCACCGGCACCCCACACUGAAGUCCCACGUGAGUUACCAUUGGCCGUCAAGCUGCCAUGUUCGUGUUUGUUAUUAUGGAACUAUUUUGCUGAACAUAUGUCUACCCAAACUGGGAAAAUGAAACAUAGAUUAAGAGAGACAUUGAUUUUUCUCAUACUGACUUAUACUGUCAGGCUGGCCUCUGAAGGCAUGUGAGGUGGUGGUGAGUUGAGCAGUCUCUAUGAUUAAAAGUCUGAUCUAUUACAAUGCUCUCAAAGUCCCCAUCUGCACCUCUUGGCCUUAACCUUGGGCUCACUUUGCUCUAAGCACUGAGUCUCGAGUCUCCUUGCCCUCCUCAGCCCUCUGACAAUGCCUACCUUCAGGGUGUUGAUACCAAUAAUACCAUCUGGCAGGAAGAGCAACCUUCCUCCUCACCUUGGGUCACAGACUGUUUAUCUGCUUGAACUCUAUUUUGUUGUCCACACCCAGCCUAUUUUCAGAGUAAACUUAAGUGGUUUUGUUUCUACUCACUCUUGGCAAAUGCCACCUUUCAGAGAUUUGGAGCUCAGUGGCAUUAUUGGUAAACAACCUACAAUGUUUGUUUGAUUGUUUUUGUUCACUUUUAAGAAAAACCUCUAGAAUAUUAAUCCUGUUCAGCAGCCUUGAAAAUCACAGCCCCUUGAAUGGUACUUAGUUAUAAGAUUGGGACAAACUUUGACUUUGGGGGAAUUUGGUGGCGUGGAAGCCCACAGCCCACCGACUUUGAGAUUCUUCAUGACAAGGCUGGAACUUGAUGGUUUCUCUACCAUCUGAGAAGACACUAGGGGAGAGAAAUUAUUCAUGAGACUAUUUAGUUGACUGAGCCUAACGUCAUGGGGAGGAUCUGCCCAGGCAGCGACUGAGCUCUAGGAGAAGUGGGGAAGGGCCCGUGGAGUCCACAGGGCCCUGGGGAGGAGGAUGGGCACCCUCCCUUGAUAAUCUCCCCUGGUGAGUGGGCUGCCCAAUUGCAGGCCCAGCUGACAGCUCACACUCACCACACUGGGGCUCAUACAACACUGCACCCCGAGGCCUGCUUACUGCAGGGACCACGAGCCAUGUGGCUUCGUGAUAAUAUUUUUAAAAUUAGUCACAAGUCUCUUGAGUUAAGCAAUGUUUUCUAUUAUACCUCAAAACACAAAUGAAGUGGCGCACACACUAAUAAAUGGAGUCACAAGGCAGUCA